rnacentral:rRNA from 1 species
UACGUAGGGGGCGAGCGUUGUCCGGAUUCUCUGGGCGUAAAGCGCACGUAGGCGGAUCGUUAAGUCAGGGGUGAAAUCCUGGAGCUCAACUCCAGAACUGCCUUUGAUACUGGCGGUCUCGAGUCCGGGAGAGGUGAGUGGAACUGCGAGUGUAGAGGUGAAAUUCGUAGAUAUUCGCAAGAACACCAGUGGCGAAGGCGGCUCACUGGCCCGGUACUGACGCUGAGGUGCGAAAGCGUGGGAGCA